rnacentral:tRNA from 1 species
GCUUCUAUAGCUUAGUGGUAGAGCGCACCGCUCAUAACGGUUCAGGCCUUGGUUCGAAUCCAAGUGGAAGCACCA